GGCCGUGUGGCGCAACGGUAGCGCGUUACUUUCCGGUUGUCUGUCUCCUGCUCGUUCUGAGCGGGAUAAAACAAGGUUCCUUCAGUUGGUAAAGGCUCUGGGUUCGAGUCCCAGCAUGGUCG